GGGUGGUAAUGCCGGAUGCUCCGACUCCUCGCAUGGGGUGUCGGGAAAGAUUUCAUCGGUAUGGGAUGGGGUCGCGUCCUAUCAGGUAGUCGGCGGGGUAACGGCCCACCGAGCCUACGACGGGUAGCCGGCCUGAGAGGGCGACCGGCCACAUUGGGACUGAGAUACGGCCCAGACUCCUACGGGAGGCAGCAGUGGGGAAUAUUGCACAAUGGGCGCAAGCCUGAUGCAGCGACGCCGCGUGCGGGAUGACGGCCUUCGGGUUGUAAACCGCUUUUGAUCGGGAGCAAGCCUUCGGGUGAGUGUACCUUUCGAAUAAGCACCGGCUAACUACGUGCCAGCAGCCGCGGUAAUACGUAGGGUGCAAGCGUUAUCCGGAAUUAUUGGGCGUAAAGGGCUCGUAGGCGGUUCGUCGCGUCCGGUGUGAAAGUCCAUCGCUUAACGGUGGAUCUGCGCCGGGUACGGGCGGGCUGGAGUGCGGUAGGGGAGACUGGAAUUCCCGGUGUAACGGUGGAAUGUGUAGAUAUCGGAAAAAAAACACCA
rnacentral:rRNA from 1 species